rnacentral:rRNA from 2 species
GAAGAAUCCAGAGAUGGAUUUGUGCCUUCGGGAACUGUGAGACAGGUGCUGCAUGGCUGUCGUCAGCUCGUGUUGUGAAAUGUUGGGUUAAGUCCCGCAACGAGCGCAACCCUUAUCCUUUGUUGCCAGCGGUCCGGCCGGGAACUCAAAGGAGACUGCCAGUGAUAAACUGGAGGAAGGUGGGGAUGACGUCAAGUCAUCAUGGCCCUUACGACCAGGGCUACACACGUGCUACAAUGGCGCAUACAAAGAGAAGCGACCUCGCGAGAGCAAGCGGACCUCAUAAAGUGCGUCGUAGUCCGGAUUGGAGUCUGCAACUCGACUCCAUGAAGUCGGAAUCGCUAGUAAUCGUGGAUCAGAAUGCCACGGUGAAUACGUUCCCGGGCCUUGUACACACCGCCCGUCACACCAUGGGAGUGGGUUGCAAAAGAAGUAGGUAGCUUAACCUUCGGGAGGGCGCUUACCACUUUGUGAUUCAUGACUGGGGUGAAGUCGUAACAAGGUAACCGUAGGGGAACCUGC